ensembl:rRNA 5S_rRNA 5S ribosomal RNA
AUCCACAGCCAUACCACCCUGAAUGCACCUGAUCUUGUCUGAUCUCAGAAGCUAAGCAGGGCUUAGUUGGCAUUAAGAUGGGAGAACACAAGCACAUUGUUGGGCACA